UGAAGAGGAAGGAGCCCAAGGGUCAAAUCUGCAUGGUGCUGUCCCUUGAUUGUGUAGGUGUGAGGGAGGGGGAACAAAAUGCUUUUUAAGAAGAAAUAUUAAAUAUUCUUUUUCCUCCCUCAGUCCAGGAGAAAAAAAGAUAAGGGAAUUACAACUCCAAGCUGUUCUCCUGCCUGCCCUUGUUUUUCAGAAUGCAGGUGUGCAGUGCUGUAUCUCAGAGUUAUCCAUACAAUAACAAUUCGUAUUACAUUAGAGGAGAGUUCUGAAGAAGAAUGGCACUUCCUUCCCUUGGAGACAUUUGGACAGAGGCCAGAAUUUUGGGAAGCUGCAAUAUAAAAUGGCCACAUGUGGCUAUCUGGGGUGAAGCACCCAAUUUUUAGUUACAGGAGUUAAAUUUUACAUCUCUUAGGUAAGAAGCUUUAAAGAAACAUGAAUGAAAAAACCCCAUGGCUUCCAGACCUCUUCAAGGAUAUGAGAAUAUUCUUUAUCAUGCUUUCUGUUAACUUUUGGCACACAGUGCUCCUCAAGCAGAAGAAACAACUCCUUUGGAAUGGAUUAACAGCACAGAGCAGAAGACCAAGAAGGCAAGAAGUUACAAAAGCACCAUCCCAGACCUGACCCACAGCUACACCACAGAUAAUCUUAAUACAGGUUGAGGAGAUCAAAAUCACCUCCAGAAUGUCUUUGUAGAUUGUGGGGUCAGCUGGAGCAGCCACAAAUUGCAGAUCUCACCAAUGAACAUGAGCGUAGAUUAAAUGGAGUAGCAAUCUGACAGCUACAGAUCUGAUGUGCUUCCACAUCAGUACAGUUGGAGGGGUAGCUGUGCUCCCUGGAAAUUCUCCUCUCCUGGAUCAACAAAUCCAAAAUAGAUCAGCUUUUGUAUGGUUGUGGUGUAACUGUGACCAUAUUGCAGCUAAGGAAUCACAGGUAGAUUUAGGCUCCUACAUGGUAAAACACAGGACUAAAAGUACCUAUUGAAUAUUGAGGAGCCUAAGAACUUUGGUAAGUGCUUUAUUUUAACUGGGACAUGUUUUAAUGUCACAUAGAAAGUUAGAGGUAAAGUGAGAUGGGAGGGAGUCUAGAGCUGGGCUUUUUUCUCCAGUACUCUGGUCUCUCUGUUUUCUAUUUCUAAGGUUAUGUGAGUGAGAUUUCCUGCAGCAAGGGGUUAAUGGAUGAGAAGCUGAACCUCUUAGAGAACUGAAGGCAGUCUGCUAGAGAAAGUUAUGUCAGCACUGGAGUAAUCAGAAAGCAAAUGAAACAGAAACCAGGGCCCCCAAAGGAAAAAAAAAAAACAAAAAACCACCAAAAAAACAAAGGAAAAACCCCACAGGAUAAUGAAGGAAUUGUGAACCACUUCAUGUACCUUUGUGAUUAACUGUUUAUCUGGUGAUACCACAGUUGAGUGUGACUGAGGGUUUUUUUUUAAAAAAAAAAAAAAAAAGAAAAAGCUUUUUUUUCUUUACCCCUGUAUUGAUGGAAUGGAGUGUUGACAUUAUCAUGAAAUUCCUUGCAUAUCCCCUUAAUUGGAGCUGAUUUUAUUGCUAUGUUUGACUGACAGCCAGAAGUGAACCUGAAAAAAAGAAUCCUCUUUGCCUUCCACCCCCACCACAUACAUCGAGCACGUCAUCUGGAAAUUCCAGCCUCUCACACUGUGCUGAAAAUGUACGCUGGAAACCAGAGUUCUGUGUUUAUAGCCCGUGCCAGCCAAUGCCAUUCACAACCUCACUGCCUUGAACUCCCUCUCUCAAAGAACAACAACCAGAUAAACAGUGAAUCAUCAGGAACACCUGAAUACAGGGAGCUGCAGUCCAGCUGAACAGCAGGUCAUUUCCUUAACACAGCCACAGACAAGACAGUGAAGGGAAGAACUGCACAGAGAGAGGAACUCAGGCAAGAAUAUGUGGAACAGUGAGGAAGCUGAGGCAGAGGGGGCAAUGCAAAAGGAAAAGGCAUGAGACAGAGCUGAGCUUUACCUCUCCCGUGCUCCCAGUGAGUGGGAGCUCCACCCUGCAGCUCGGGAGCAGAAGGAGCAAGGAGGAAUUCAGUUAGAUGUAAUGAGAUAUCUACACUGGUUUUGGGCUUUCAAGGAAAGGUAGGAAAAGGAUAGUUAACAUGGUCAUAUUGGCUGGAAGAAAGUUUGGUUAUGGCAGUUUAAAUUUCAUCUGAUUGUGGAAGAUGAGGAAAAAAUGUGUCACUGAAGCCUGAGAGGAGAUUGCUGUAAUUAGGGAGGAUUGUGGAUUAGCCCUGGUUCACUAAAACCAACACAGUAAAAAUAAACAUUUUGGUUUAAAUGCCUGUACCAAACAGGCUGCUGAAGAGUGAACUGAAGCAAGCAGAGAAGCCAAGAAAGCUACUGGCAUCUGAGGAGGCACAGUAUUUUAGGUGGGCUUUCAUACUCAUGAUUUUAUUUCUUUCAGUUUGGCAGUUGUCAGAGUGAAUCCAUAGCCUGCCAGGUGUUUGCAGAACCCUUCCCCUUCCAAGUGAGCUGUGGAGGGAAGAGCUUUGAGGUCCAUAUACUAGGGCAUUGGGAGAGGAAGGUGAUCCAUGGGAGAGUGUGUCAUAAGAAGAAGAUAGGCUGAGAGAUGAAAGAGUUGGCAGACUGUUCUUUUAAUGUGUGCAAGCUAACCCAUAAAAGGAGAGGCAGCAGGAAGGAUGGAGAAAAGUGAAAUCAAACAGCAAUGGCACCAGAGAAAGAGCUCUUUCUGCUUUUUCAUGGAUUAUUUUGUGGGGCGGGGAGGGGAAGUAAAUAGCAGUAUUUAAAAAAAUAUUCAGAGCACCUGAGAAUCUAAAACCCAGAGAAGAGAAUGCACACAGGAUAGCUCUAAACUAGAAAUCAGGAGCAGAAGUUGAAAGUUAUUUCUGUGUUGUCAUUGCAUGGGCAUGGGAUUGAGGCCUGCCAGUCAUCAGUAAUGUCAAGAGGCACUGGACUAAUGCACGGGUGACAAGGCCAUUGGCACAUGGAAUACAAGUGUCCCCAUGCACCUCUGGGCUCUGGAAGUGUGGAAGUCAUUGACUGUCAGAAGCUGUGAGGCUGCAGCAAGGAAAGGAUCACUCUGCACAUGGAUCACUCCUUCUGUGAGCAUCUGGUACUGGUCCUGUUGCAAGAUAAGGUGUGAGGCUCUGUGGUGUGCCUGUGUCAGGCUUUAUUGAGGCAAACAGAGAGUUUUCAUUAGCUAUAUGUAUACCUCAAAGGUAAAGAACUUAAAAAAAGGAACCUGAUGGUGAAAACUUGAGAAAAACCUGUGCUUCAUAAUCUCAAUUUGAAGAUCUUUGUGUUUGUACUGGUAAAUUUUAUCAUUAACUUGCCCAUCAUGAACUGCCUUAACCAGCACAUGGAUGGAAUGGAGGAAUGGAGGUUUCAUACACCUGAUGGCUAUUGGAAAUCCCCAUCACUGGAGUGUACAGUUGACAUGCUUCAGUAAUGUGUGAAUCCUCUUACCUCAGUGGAUCCAGUGAAAGCAAUUUUGUCAAUGCCAACAUGAGAGGCUAUGGCUGCACCAACAAUUGGACCAAAUCCUGGCAAAAUAUUGACAACUCCUGGUGGAAAGCCAGCCUGUCAAAAUAGGAAUGAAUGAAGGUUAUCUUUCACAGAUGCUAGCAGAGGUUCACAGACCACAGGAAGAUUCAUCAGAUCCCACAGAAGCAAAGUAGAAGUCAAAAUACAGAGAAGUACAUACAAGAAAACUGUCUAAGUGCUCAAGGGAACACAGAGGAGUCAGCUAAAAAUACCAGUUUGUACUCAGUAGUACUGUGAGAGGUGGGUUCUCAGCCAGAAGGAUGGUGGCAACAUAACAGUAACACAGUUACAUUAGCACUGUCUGACUUUAGAUUGUCACUGCAUAAU